GAUGAACGCUAGCUAUAGGCUUAACACAUGCAAGUCGAGGGGAAACGGCAUUAUGUGCUUGCACAUUUUGGACGUCGACCGGCGCACGGGUGAGUAUCGCGUAUCCAACCUGCCCUUUACUUGGGGAUACCCCGUUGAAAGACGGCCUAAUACCCGAUGUAAUUCAUUGAUGGCAUCAGAUAUGAAUAAAAGAUUUAUCGGUAAAGGAUGGGGAUGCGUCUGAUUAGCUUGUUGGUGAGGUAAUGGCUCACCAAGGCGACGAUCAGUAGGGGUUCUGAGAGGAAGGUCCCCCACAUUGGAACUGAGACACGGUCCAAACUCCUACGGGAGGCAGCAGUGAGGAAUAUUGGUCAAUGGGCGCAAGCCUGAACCAGCCAAGUAGCGUGCAGGAAGACGGCCCUAUGGGUUGUAAACUGCUUUUAUACGAGAAUAAUUUGAUGCACGUGUGCGUUAUUGCAUGUAUCGUAUGAAUAAGGACCGGCUAAUUCCGUGCCAGCAGCCGCGGUAAUACGGAAGGUCCAGGCGUUAUCCGGAUUUAUUGGGUUUAAAGGGAGUGUAGGCGGUUUGUUAAGCGUGUUGUGAAAUUUAGAUGCUCAACAUUUAACUUGCAGCGCGAACUGGCGAACUUGAGUGCACACAACGUAUGCGGAAUUCAUGGUGUAGCGGUGAAAUGCUUAGAUAUCAUGAAGAACUCCGAUUGCGAAGGCAGCAUACGGGAGUGUAACUGACGCUUAAGCUCGAAGGUGCGGGUAUCGAACAGGUUUAGAUACCCUGGUAGUCCAAGGGCGAAUUCCACAGUGGAUAUCAAGCUUAUCGAUACCGUCGACCUCGAGGGGGGGGCCCGGUACCCAGCUUUUGUUCCCUUUAUGAGUGUUUAAAUUAA
rnacentral:rRNA from 1 species